UCGUCGGUGAGCACCGUAAAACCUCUUCCGUGUGCAGGGCUCACUGUGCCGCAGAUUGUCCUCUUUUUUUUUUUUUUUUAACAAAAUGCUGCUUACCUUGUGACACAAGAGAAUCACCAGGAUAUCCCAAACAGCUGUUUGAGCUGCAGUCGAGCUCGACUCCUCCGGACCAACUCUGAGCCAGGCUCCAGAGCUCACGGGGAGGCUCAGGCAGGCAAGAUCUCCCCUCGGCCGGGAAGGCGAAGUGGGGACGAGCUCCCUGUCUGUUACUGAUCCACUCAGAGGUUUCAAAGGUCCCCAAAUGCCAUCGGUCUGCGUCUGCCAGGAGGUUUGGAUGCAGGAGCUGGAACGAGCCUAUGCUGGGAGACCUGCCAUUCUUAAACACCUUCUGAAGUGGGGAUCGGAGGUGCUAAGAACUACAUUUCAUGGUAUUUGUGAAGUGUAGCACCCACCGCCGGAGUUAGUGCCGUCGGACACGCGCCUGCGGUUGUCCUGCCCCAGAAGAAAACGAGAAUCACGGGCAGCAUGGAUACAGAGAGGGAAUCACUCAUUCGGGGAAAUAAAUCGCUGGAAAGAAGCGCCCGGGAUGAACGAGCAGGACGCAGGGUUCAGCGCUGCUCUUCCCAGCCAGCGAGAUCCUGAUUAACUCGUUACCUCUCGCCGUGCCUUGCCGCCGGUCUGGCUCGGGGCGGCGCGGCGGUGCCUCCCUCCGCAGCCGCACCGGGCGCUGGCUCUGCCGGAUGAUGUCAUGGCAGAGGGGAAGGGAGCGCGGGUGGCUACUGGGCUCUUGAGUGAGUAGCCCUCGAAUAGUUUCCUUUUUUCCUGCCCGUCGAUGCCAGCGUACGCCCAAGAGCAGGCUGCUUUUUGCCAGGCUCGUGUUAAAAAUCUGGCGUGAUCCCUAAAGCCAAGUCCCUUGGCUGCAGCCCCUUUAAACCCCCCGAUUCUGUACAAACCCACCUGCGCUGCCCACCCUGAGCAGAGCAGUGCUGGGGGCACCUUUGUAUUCUCCUCCCCCAGAUCUCAACCCCUCUAUUUUUUUUCAUAAAAGGCCAUUUUUCCCUCCUGCUGUAGCCUGAGGUGGGGGGUUCCCCCAGCUGAUCCCCUGGCUCUCCAGGUACAAGUUUCAUUAACGCACACUCCUAGUUCUGAGCCCAGUUGCCAUCGAUUACACUACAGCACAAACCAGAGCAGACUCUGGCCCCUCCAUUACUUUGCCCUUUGAAUUUACCUGUUUUCCCUUCAAAAAACCCCACAGCUGCCUGGACCUUCUCCUGCUUUUUUUCUUCUCCUUCCCCCUCUCAGGUACAGCAGCAGGGAAGUAAAAGGUUGAGCUGUCACAUUCACCUUCCACUGAUCCCUCCUCGUCAGCCAUUUCAGAGGCCAAGUGCUGACUACCAAAACUUUUCCCUGGGCUGCUCCAAAACUUUUAAGUUUUUUCCCCUCACUUGUAGCUUAGAAGUAUAUUUUUAGGCAGUUUUUGCCCAGAUCUCAGUUAACUGACCUGGGAGGAAAGAAAGUUAAGUUUAAGCAAGCCUUUAGGCAAAGAAACAUACUUUGGCUUAAUAGGUUAGAGAGGUGUCAGCAGCAUCCAUCAUGCACAUUAAGAGCUGUUAUCGCUUUUUCCCAGGUAUUUUUAACCAUUGCAGCUGAUUGAGCAGGCUUAGAAUUUAAAAUAA